CCGGUGGUUGACGUCGAAGGCGCACAUGAAGGGCAUCACAGGAGCACCCUACAGGGCACGUUGUGAUGGUUUGACCGUCACAGAUGUGUCCUGGUUGUCGUACACGGAGCAUCGGGGUGUUAGGGCGUUUCAGGAGAUUUCAUCGUUCCAGGGUCAGCUCAGAUGGGGUCCUAUGAUCGUCGCAGUUCGACCGGAGAUGGUGGUACGCCAGUUCGGUUACAUCCAGAGCAUCCCUCCGCCGCCUGUUAGUGCACGAUUGUCACAGGAUCAGAUAGAUGACAGGUGGAUGGAGUUUGCGGAUCACUUACUACCUGCGGGUCAGCCUUGUUUAGUGCCUGGGCAGGUAUCUGUGGAUUACAUUGAGUGAUUUUUCCGUAUAUCUCACCCUUUCAUGACACCGACCCAGGCAGCUGACCAGCAGAGGGAUGCACCAGCUGCAGACCCUGAGGACUACAUACAGCCGCCCAGCCCCCAGGUUCCAGUGGCAUUUGACCCCCCUCCAUAUGUGGAUGAUUAUGAGGGAUAUGAGGCGAUUGCACAGAGGUUGGAGCGUGUGCUCAACCUUAGGAUAGUCACUGCAGGCACAGAGUUAUAUGACAUUAUGUAGGACUGCCUGACGAUUGCGAGAGGGGGACCCAGUGCUGAUGGGACGGUCAGGGCUCGUCAGAGACGCCGCACGGACCAUUGAUCAUUGUAUUUAUUUUGUUGUGUUGUAGUUGACAUGAAUAUUUGUAAUUAUUACAGUUUUUGUUUAAUAUAGUUGACGUGUUUUGCACAGUU